rnacentral:rRNA from 1 species
AAAAAAAAGAGUUUGAUCCUGGCUCAGAAUCAACGCUGGCGGCGUGCCUCAGACAUGCAAGUCGAACGAUUAAACUUUCCUUCGGGAAAGAUAUAGAGUGGCGCACGGGUGAGUAACACGUAAGUAAUCUACCUUUGAGUGGGGAAUAACUCGGGGAAACUCGAGCUAAUACCGCAUAACGCAGCGGCACCGCAAGGUGACAGUUGUUAAAGGAGCAAUCCGCUUGAAGAGGAGCUUGCGGCAGAUUAGGUAGUUGGUAAGGUAAUGGCUUACCAAGCCUGCGAUCUGUAUCCGGUCUAAGAGGACGGUCGGACACACUGACACUGAAUAACGGGUCAGACUCCUACGGGAGGCAGCAGUCGGGAAUUUUGGGCAAUGGGCGAAAGCCUGACCCAGCAACGCCGCGUGAAGGAUGAAGUAUUUCGGUAUGUAAACUUCGAAAGAAUGGGAAGAAUCAAUGACGGUACCAUUUAUAAGCUCCGGCUAACUACGUGCCAGCAGCCGCGGU